AGUAGUUUGAUCCUGGCUCAGAUGACGCUGGCGGCGUGCUUAACACAUGCAAGUCGAACGGGGAUGCCAUUUUUGAGGCGGUUAGUUUACUAAGCGCCAAGAUGUCGGCAUCUUAGUGGCGGACGGGUGAGUAACGCGUGGGUAACCUGCCUUAUACAGGGGGAUAACACUUAGAAAUAGGUGCUAAUACCGCAUAAGCGCACGGGGCUGCAUGGCCCAGUGUGAAAAACUCCGGUGGUAUAAGAUGGACCCGCGUCUGAUUAGCUUGUUGGCGGGGUAACGGCCCACCAAGGCGACGAUCAGUAGCCGGCCUGAGAGGGUGGACGGCCACAUUGGGACUGAGACGCGGCCCAAACUCCUACGGGAGGCAGCAGUGGGGAAUAUUGGACAAUGGGGGGAACCCUGAUCCAGCGACGCCGCGUGAGUGAAGAAGUAUUUCGGUAUGUAAAGCUCUAUCAGCAGGGAAGAAAGAAAUGACGGUACCUGACUAAGAAGCCCCGGCUAACUACGUG
rnacentral:rRNA from 1 species